rnacentral:rRNA from 1 species
GUGCCAGCCGCCGCGGUAAUACGUAGGUCCCGAGCGUUGUCCGGAUUUAUUGGGCGUAAAGCGAGCGCAGGUGGUUUAUAAGUCUGGUGUAAAAGGCAGUGGCUCAACCAUUGUAUGCAUUGGAAACUGGUAGACUUGAGUGCAGGAGAGGAGAGUGGAAUUCCAUGUGUAGCGGUGAAAUGCGUAGAUAUAUGGAGGAACACCGGUGGCGAAAGCGGCUCUCUGGCCUGUAACUGACACUGAGGCUCGAAAGCGUGGGGAGCAAACAGGAUUAGAUACCCUGGUAGUCCACGCCGUAAACGAUGAGUGCUAGAUGUAGGAGCUAUAAGUUCUCUGUAUCGCAGCUAACGCAAUAAGCAACUCCGCCUAGGGGAGUACGACCGCAAGGUUGAAACUCAAAGGAAUUGAC